rnacentral:sRNA from 1 species
CCCAACCACGAUGUGGGCGUCGACAGGU